UAGGAGGUAAUGCGUGACCAACCUGCCCCAUGCUCCAGAAUAGCUCUUGGAAACGGGUGGUAAUGCUGGAUGCUCCAACUUGACGCAUGUCUUGUUGGGAAAGUGUUUAGUGGCAUGGGAUGGGGUCGCGUCCUAUCAGCUUGUAGGCGGGGUAAUGGCCCACCUAGGCUUCGACGGGUAGCCGGCCUGAGAGGGCGGACGGCCACAUUGGGACUGAGAUACGGCCCAGACUCCUACGGGAGGCAGCAGCG
rnacentral:rRNA from 1 species